AGUUUGAUCCUGGCUCAGGACGAACGCUGGCGGCGUGCUUAACACAUGCAAGUCGAACGGAAAGGCCCUUCGGGGUACUCGAGUGGCGAACGGGUGAGUAACACGUGGGUGAUCUGCCCUGCACUUUGGGAUAAGCCUGGGAAACUGGGUCUAAUACCGAAUAGGACCACGCGCUUCAUGGUGUGUGGUGGAAAGCUUUUGCGGUGUGGGAUGGGCCCGCGGCCUAUCAGCUUGUUGGUGGGGUAAUGGCCUACCAAGGCGACGACGGGUAGCCGGCCUGAGAGGGUGACCGGCCACACUGGGACUGAGAUACGGCCCAGACUCCUACGGGAGGCAGCAGUGGGGAAUAUUGCACAAUGGGCGCAAGCCUGAUGCAGCGACGCCGCGUGAGGGAUGACGGCCUUCGGGUUGUAAACCUCUUUCAAUAGGGACGAAGCGCAAGUGACGGUACCUAUAGAAGAAGCACCGGCCAACUACGUGCCAGCAGCCGCGGUAAUACGUAGGGUGCGAGCGUUGUCCGGAAUUACUGGGCGUAAAGAGCUCGUAGGUGGUUUGUCGCGUUGUUCGUGAAAACUCACAGCUUAACUGUGGGCGUGCGGGCGAUACGGGCAGACUAGAGUACUGCAGGGGAGACUGGAAUUCCUGGUGUAGCGGUGGAAUGCGCAGAUAUCAGGAGGAACACCGGUGGCGAAGGCGGGUCUCUGGGCAGUAACUGACGCUGAGGAGCGAAAGCGUGGGGAGCGAACAGGAUUAGAUACCCUGGUAGUC
rnacentral:rRNA from 1 species